rnacentral:rRNA from 1 species
GGCCUACGGGCGGCUGCAGUCGAGGAUCUUCGGCAAUGGGCGCAAGCCUGACCGAGCGACGCCGCGUGAAGGAUGAAGGCCUUCGGGUUGUAAACUUCUGUCGAGGGGGACCAAAGCCGCAAGGCUUGAGAGAUCCCUGGAGGAAGCACGGGCUAAGUUCGUGCCAGCAGCCGCGGUAAGACGAACCGUGCGAACGUUGUUCGGAAUCACUGGGCAUAAAGGGCGCGUAGGCGGCUUAUCAAGUCAGGGGUGAAAUCCGGCAGCUCAACUGUCGAAGUGCCUUUGAUACUGAUGAGCUCGAGGGAGGUAGGGGUGUGCGGAACUUCCGGUGGAGCGGUGAAAUGCGUUGAUAUCGGAAGGAACGCCGGUGGCGAAAGCGGCGCACUGGACCUCUUCUGACGCUGAGGCGCGAAAGCCAGGGGAGCAAACGGGAUUAGAUACCCGAGUAGUC